UAUGAAAAUCCCGCCGGAACUGUUUAUUUUCCCGAAAUAAAAGUAGCCUGUGUCACUCUCCAGGUCCAUAACUAUAUAGAUGCAAAAAUACGCCGCUCCGUUGCU